AGUCGCGGAAUUCUCGUCGUUGCGCGUUCGCGAGCAAAUUUCGAAUUUCAUGAGCUGGAUGGAAACGCAUCUAAUCUGGAGUUAAAAGGGGUCUGCCGUCGAUCGGCAUCGCGAGACUCAACGCCAUGAGCACGAUGUGGGUGUGACCUGGUUUGCGAGAGUUUCACUUUCCUGUAACAUCGUUGCACGGAGGAGAUUCCUAGAACGAAGCGGACCCCGGUCAGUCACGGAGC